GCUGUAGCUCAGGGGUGGAGCAUCUGCUUAGUAUGCAGAAGCUCCCAGGCUCAACUCCUGGCAUCUCCA